UAGGGAAUAUUGGACAAUGGGCGCAAGCCUGAUCCAGCAACGCCGCGUGAAUGAUGAAGGCCUUAGGGUUGUAAAAUUCUUUCGCUAGGGAAGAUAAUGACUGUACCUAGUAAAGAAGCCCCGGCUAACUCCGUGCCAGCAGCCGCGGUAAUACGGAGGGGGCUAGCGUUGUUCGGAAUUACUGGGCGUAAAGCGUGCGUAGGCGGACUGGAAAGUCAGAUGUGAAAUCCCGGGGCUCAACCCCGGAACUGCAUUUGAAACUAUCAGUCUAGAGUUCUGGAGAGGUAAGUGGAAUUCCUAGUGUAGAGGUGAAAUUCGUAGAUAUUAGGAGGAACACCAGAGGCGAAGGCGGCUUACUGGACAGAUACUGACGCUGAGGCACGAAAGUGUGGGGAGCAAACAGGAUUAGAUACCCCCGUAGUCC
rnacentral:rRNA from 1 species